rnacentral:rRNA from 1 species
AUGCAGAAUUUAUCAAACUACUUCCUAAGGGAGUUGAGCGAGGGAGGGAUCGCCGAUAUACUGAAUUCUCAAGUCCUUGAGGAAGCAACUGAGGAAGAGAUUAUCAAUGUCGCCACUCUCGCGGAACGGUGCUUAAGACUGCAUGGUGAAGAAAGACCCACCAUGAAACAAGUUGAGGUUGAGUUGCAGACUUUACGAACAACUAGAGCAAGCUCAUGUCAAGAUCCAAGCAAUGAAGAACAAACACAGCCAACCUUGUUAACUCAAGGAGCUGAAGUUGAUUUCCAGUCGUCAGCCACGGAAUUGGGUUGCAGAGUCAACUUAGAGUCGAGCCAAGGGUGCUAUGACUUGCAGCAAGAGUUCAUGGAAUCAGCUAGUCUAGCGCGCUAG